AAGAAGAAGAAGAAGAAGAAGAAGAGUCAGAGUGAGGGCGGAAGUGGAGUAAACAAAGAUGGCGGCGGACGAUGACACUGAGACUGACGUGUUUGAGAUCACAGACUUUACCACAGCCUCAGAAUGGGAACGGUUUGUGUCUCGACUCGAGGAGGUUCUCAACCAGUGGAAGCUCGUCGGAAACUCCCCGAGAAGGUCUCCUCCUGCCAAGGGGCAGUUCACCUCGGGUCUGUGGAGAGAACAAACAGAGGAGAUCAACUUCGCCGAUUUUAAGUUCUCCAUCACACACCACUUUCUAGAAGAAGAGGAGGAGGAAGAAGAGGAAGAGAAGAGGGAGACGCAGAGAGACGAAGACGUGUUUCCUGUGGCGAUGCAGGACCUCCUCUGCACCAACAACGACUUCCCCCCGAGAGCUCACUGCCUCGUCAGAUGGUUCGGGUUGCGUUCCUUCGUGCUUUUGUCUCCGGGGACAAACACUGAAGCCGUCGUCAGUGAGUCAAAGUGUAACCUGCUCCUGAGCUCUGUGUCCAUCGCCCUGCAGAACCGAGGCUGCCAGGUGCCGGUGCUGGUGCAGGUGCAGCAGAAGUGGCGGCGUUUGUUCUCGGGGGAGUGUCAGGGUCCCGGCGUCAGGACGGACUUCGAGAUGGUUCAUCUGCACAAAGUCCCCGCCCACUACAGGAACCUGUCCGGCCUCCUGGACAUUUUCAAGAACAAGAUCGGCUGUACUCUGUCUCCUCUUCCUCCCAUCAACAUUUCCAUCAGAUUCACCUACGUCCUGCACGACUGGCAACAGUGCACCUGGCCCCAGCAACCGCCAGACUUCGACGGUCUGUUCGGGGGAGAGGUUGGAGGAGUGGAGUUUGGUAAAGUUCCGUUUGGAGCGUGUGCGGAGCCCAUCAGUGAGCUGCACCUGGCCGCCACCUGGCCUCACCUGACCGAGGGCAUCAUCGUGGACAACGACGUGUACAGUGAGCUGGACCCUCUGCAGGCGCCGCACUGGACUGUGAGGAUCAGGACCGUGGACAACCCCCAGUGUCUGCUAGGGGACUUCCUGCUGGAGUUCUUCAGACUGACUCUGUGCUCUGAGUCGAUGGACGAGAUCAUGGGCCGCGCCCUGUCGGAGGAGGAGGGGAAGGAACACGCAGACAUCAGCUCGGCGCUGCAGAAGCUCACUCAGCCCUCGGCCUCGGUCCACAUUUCCAAACUGUCCGUGUCCCACAUGGUCCACAGCGCCCGGAGACGCAUGAGGAGGAGGAGGAGGUACGAAGAGUCUCCACUGAGCAACCAGAGCCUCAACACGGCCCUGCUGUUCCUGUUUCCGGAUGCUGCGGUGGAAAAGACUCCGGUGGAGAAGAGCAGCCCUCACAGCGGCGAGAUCCAGGACCCAGACUCUACUCAGUACCUGCACCUGAAGGCGGCUCCUGUGGACAGUCUGACUCAUCGUGUGGCUCUGUGUCUGGCGUCGCUGAAUCACUCUCAGGGUGGAGUCAGAGCCGUGGCUCAUCUGUGGCAGGAGUUUGUGCUGGAGCUGCGCUACCGCUGGGAGAACAACUACCUCAUCCACGGUUUGUCCAGUGGAGCUCCUGACCUGCGCUGCUGCCUCCUGCACCAGAAACUCCAGAUGUUGAACUGUUGUAUUGAGAGGAAAAGGUCACGUGACGAGGCGCACCGCGAGCAGAGUCCAGGGGGCGGUUCCUCGGACGGAGCGGCGGCGUCGCCUUCGGACGGGGCCGCGGCGCCGUCCACGUCCUGGGAGUCCUGGAGCGACAGCGAGGACGAGUUUUACGAGUGCGUUAGCGAUUUGUCCGAGAGCGGCCACGGCGACCGGAAACCCGAGGGACGCCUCAGAGCGCACGGCGACAUGAAGCUGCUGCACGCCGACCAACCGCUCUACAUCCCCGUCACGCAGGAGCCGUCCCCUGUCACAGAGGACAUGUUGGAGCAGCAGUCUGAGGUUCUGUCCAAACUGGGCACAUCAGCAGAGGGCGCUCACCUGCGCGCGCGGAUGCAGAGCGCCUGUCUGCUGUCCGACAUGGAGGCCUUCAAGGCGGCGAACCCGGGCUGCGUGCUGGAGGACUUCGUGCGCUGGUAUUCUCCGAGGGACUUCGUGGUCUCGGAGGGCGAGGACGGCGAGACCAGGGGGGCACUGAGCGCCCGCAUGACCAUCCCCGGCAACAUGUGGCUCGAGGCCUGGGACACCGCCAAAGCCACGCCCGCCCGCCGCCAGAAACGCCUGUUCGACGACACCACCGAGGCCGAAAAGGUGCUGCAUCACCUGUCUCUGCUGAAGCCCUCAGAGUUGGUGCUGCAGCUGCUGCCGAGUCUCAUCCUCUCAGCUCUGGGCAAACUCCAGGAGGAAGAGGCGUCAGAGAACCUCCCGUUGGUGAGGAAGUCCUUGGUCCAGGCUUCGGUUCAGGCUGGGACACUUCUGCACCAGCCCCAACCCGACCUCCAGCAGCUCCAGGAGUUCCUGUUGCAGCUCGUGUCUGUGGAGACGUGCAUCACUCAGUCUCGAUCUCUGAAGGCAAAAUUUGGAGUUUCUCCUGAAAACGAAAACCAGGAUCAACCACAACUACUACAGUUUGUGAAUCGUCUCCUGGAGGAGCCUGAGGUGGAGGUGACAGGUGCAGGACAGGGACCGGCAGGGACCAUCAUCCACCAACUGUUCAUCAACGCACAGAGGUCGGACUUUUCCCAGGACGAGGCGGCGCUGUUGUCUCCUCUGGACCCCGAGGCCGGUCCCGGUCCGGACCCGGAGUCUCGAGGUCCGGAGCAGGUCCCGGACUUCCCUCCUCCGACCGGACGGGAGAUGAUCCUGAGGACCUGCGUUCCGUCUCCGGCCUGUUUCUCCAGAGCGCUGCCCCAGAGGAUGUUCUGUGUGCUCCUCAAGGACGAGUUUAGACUGGCGGCGGCGCUCAGCCACGACACCACCUUCUUCUGACCGCACCUGAGUCCACCUGACCGCACCUGAGUCCACCUGACCCCGCCUGAGUCCACCUGACCGCACCUGAGUCCACCUGACCGCACCUGAGUCCACCUGACCAC